rnacentral:rRNA from 1 species
UGUAGUUGAACCUUGGGCCUGGCUGGCCGGUCCGCCUCACCGCGUGUACUGGUCCGGCCGGGCCUUUCCCUCUGUGGAACCCCAUGCCCUUCACUGGGUGUGGCGGGGAAACAGGACUUUUACUGUGAAAAAAUUAGAGUGCUCCAGGCAGGCCUAUGCUCGAAUACAUUAGCAUGGAAUAAUAGAAUAGGACGUGUGGUUCUAUUUUGUUGGUUUCUAGGACCGCCGUAAUGAUUAAUAGGGACAGUCGGGGGCAUCAGUAUUCAAUUGUCAGAGGUGAAAUUCUUGGAUUUAUUGAAGACUAACUACUGCGAAAGCAUUUGCCAAGGAUGUUUUCAUUAAUCAGGAACGAAAGUUAGGGGAUCGAAGACGAUCAGAUACCGUCGUAGUCUUAACCAUAAACUAUGCCGACUAGGGAUCGGACGGUGUUAUUUUUUGACCCGUUCGGCACCUUACGAGAAAUCAAAGUGCUUGGGCUCCAGGGGGAGUAUGGUCGCAAGGCUGAAACUUAAAGAAAUUGACGGAAGGGCACCACCAGGGGUGGAGCCUGCGGCUUAAUUUGACUCAACACGGGGAAACUCACCAGGUCCAGACACAAUAAGGAUU